UACGUAGGAGGCAAGCGUUAUCCGGAAUGACUGGGCGUAAAGGGUGCGUAGGUGGUUCGGCAAGUUAGUAGCGUAAUUCCGGGGCUCAACCUCGGAACUACUACUAAAACUGUUGGGCUUGAGUGCAGGAGGGGCAUAUGGAAUUCCUAGUGUAGCGGUGGAAUGCGUAGAUAUUAGGAAGAACACCAGUGGCGAAGGCGAUAUGCUGGACUGUAACUGACACUGAGGCACGAAAGCGUGGGGAGCAAACAGG
rnacentral:rRNA from 1 species